GACUGUCCUGUCAAGCAUUUUUAAGAAUGCUGGAUCAGCGAACUGUUCGCUUUGGUCGUAUCUGAGGAACAGGCCAUCUUUGAAGGCAUCUUUAUAGCCAAAGAUGAAGAUGUUACAAGAUUUGUGGACCACAUUCACAGCACAACCAAACAUGUCAGUGGGAGAGGUGUUUGUGGAGGGGAGUGGUCAGCAGCCAGAGAGACCUCACAAAGAUCUGCCAGCGAAGUAGACGGAGAGGGAUUGGAGGUUGCGGUUUGUCGGCACGGAGUGCUUCUCUGUGCUUUAAAUAUGUACAGGGGUGAAAUUUUUGCCUAUCCCCUGUACCUUCAAGAAAAGUUGGCCAGUAGGCAAGUCACUUUUUUUUGUAUGGAUGUGACCUGCAAAUAUUGGCCCUACCUGCAAAGAAUUACAAAAAGCUGCCCAGAGCUCCAGCACCUCCUUAACAUGAGACCAUUCCUUUCGGUAUUUCAUGC